rnacentral:ncRNA from 1 species
UAUAUGACUGUGAAGAGAAGAGUAGCAAGGAGUUCCUUAUCUAGCGAGCUGGUGGUGGUGUAAGUCCAGUAUAAUACUUUUUGUGAAGAACAUCUCUGAGUCCCUGACCAAAAGUUAGCGAGUAGGCUCAGGCGGAUAGGUUCCGAUAUAGACCUACUAAGUGACUAGCAUAGCUAGUAAUUAGGGUGGUACCGCGAUUAUACACACAUCGUCCCUUUG